CAAUCGGCCCUUUUCAGGGCCACCAAUUUCUUUCCCGAAAAGAUAU
rfam:Anopheles minimus strain MINIMTS1 unplaced genomic scaffold supercont1.2, whole genome shotgun sequence.